rnacentral:lncRNA from 1 species
GAAAGAAUCAUCGGAAACACUUAUCUCUCGGAGGGGGCUAAACAAGGGCAUGGGAAAAUGGUCAUUUUAAGUAUGAGGCAAUAUAAUGAAAACAGUACCAGCAGAAUAGGCUCGACAAGACGAAAAGGGAGGGCUUUGGAAUCACCUGAAUGGGAGCUACAGUUGCUGAGAUAUGGCUAGAUGAAGGGUAGGGACUAAUGUGUAAAACAAAACUUUAAAAAACUAGUCCCUGGCUACUUAAACACAAAGCAUCUUUCUAGCAGAGAAAACGUACUUCAGUUAGAAACCGAAGGAAAGUACGCUAUCCACUUCAAAAAACGGAAAAUCCAAGAUGCGCUUUCACUUAAAAUGGUGAGAGCACACGACAUGUCAACGCUAAGACGCUAACGGGUAGGACCCAUCGCAGGUUCUCUCUCUCAUAUGGUCUUCUUCUUCUACCUCGCGACAAAGGAACAAGGGGCUUCGGGCGCCGUCAGGGUUCACCGCUUUCUGGUGCCAGCGGGCCAUCCGUGGAGCGCAAUGGUUCGACCACGCUGUGCCGUGCCCGUAGUAGGUCUCGCGGUCACUCUUGAUGGCCUACAGUGUCAGUUCCAUGGCUCAGCCUGCGCGGUUGGAGAGUUCAAGGGGGAGUGAAACCGUGGGGUCUCCUAGGAGGAAAAGCGGGCGGCAGCGGGUCAGCGGCAUCCAGGGGGCUCUGGGC